rnacentral:lncRNA from 10 species
CUCCUGAGAGGUGCCUUGAGAAACAGACACAAUGGAGCUUCUCUAUUCCAUUGGCUUCAAGUCAGGCCAGUGUUCUUCCCUGGGGCAGAGCCCUCUCCUCCCUCCUCCUCGCCACGUGCUCCCAGCCCUCAUCUCCACUGAGCACAGAUGAAUCCUUUCAUAGUGAUCUAGCAUCCAUGUUCUUUCUGUAUGCUGCAGGGAAUGAUGGAGAACUUUGAAGUGGCGGGGUUACUUUGUUAGGUUUUCAGAUCAAGAAGAGUUGUCCCUGAUGCAGAUGAUGAGAUCAUGGACUUCAAGCCUGAGAUGCUGGAGGGAUUGUUUUACAUGUGGCGGAGACAUUCCAUGGGGGCCUGAAGAUGGACUGUGGGAGAUUGUCAUAGUCCUACUUCUAGGGGCCACACUCUUGGGAGUCCUCGCCAACAGUGAGUUUGAAUUCGGCCAUGUCAUUGACCUUGUUCACUGAGACAUCCCGUAAAUGUGCCACGAACAGGAUUGAUGAAUAUUUGCAAAGUGAGACUUGCCCUCUUGAAACCCAAUGACCACAUAAAGAAGUCUGGACUGUCUCUCUGGAAAGGAGGAGAGUCGAGGUGAUGCAUGUCAGAGUCCCGUCCCUGACGAAGCAGGAGACACAACCAGCAGACUCUGCCACAGUCUUCGCGUAUAUAUCCCAUGUGACGCCUGUAUCCUCAGUCCUUGGAAAGAAUCAGCCAGGUGUCCUGGAGGGCCUGAGAGGGACCAGGGUGAUGAUGGGAUCCGGAGAAGAAAGUCAGAUUGGAGCAUGUGUUUCUGAUGUGGCCCCGUUACACUCCCUGAGGUAUGUCCAAGCACAGAGAGUGUCUUCCUGCAUCAGCUACCACCAGAGUCUCUACAGCCACAUCUCUCAGAGCCGCAGUCACUUCACUGAUAAACUUCAGGGGGCUGAACUGGAUACUCUUUUAAGAUGA